AUGUUGGUUCGCGGUGCUUGCAUAGCUUCCGUAGGCUUGAUCUCGGAUUCGGGUAGCUUGCAUAUGUCUGUUGCUGAUAUGGGGCAUUCGAGUAGCUGGGCUGGGUCUGAUAUGGAGCAUUUGAGUAGCCAGCCGGCGCACCGGGAGCAUGCACACCUUGUCCAUAUGAGUAGUUCAUUGGUGGUUCAAAGCCUGACAACGGAGAUGGUCCUGCCUGUAAAACAAUCCCAGAGAAGUCAGGGCAUUGCUGUUUAUCACUUAGGAUCAUCAUUUAUGGAAAGACACAUGGGCAGAACAAUUUCAGAAAGAAUAAUGACACCGUACCAUCUGGUUACUGACAUUGCCAUGGCUGGGAGUUGA
rnacentral:rRNA from 1 species